rnacentral:rRNA from 1 species
CACGUAGGGCGCAAGCGUUGUCCGGAAUUAUUGGGCGUAAAGAGCUCGUAGGCGGUCUGUUGCGUCCGCUGUGAAAACUCGGGGCUUAACCCCGAGCCUGCAGUGGAUACGGGCAGACUAGAGGUAGGUAGGGGAGAAUGGAAUUCCCGGUGUAGCGGUGAAAUGCGCAGAUAUCGGGAGGAACACCGGUGGCGAAGGCGGUUCUCUGGGCCAUUACUGACGCUGAGGAGCGAAAGCGUGGGGAGCGAACAGG